AAAUUGAAGAGUUUGAUCAUGGCUCAGAUUGAACGCUGGCGGCAGGCCUAACACAUGCAAGUCGAACGGUAACAGGAAGCAGCUUGCUGCUUCGCUGACGAGUGGCGGACGGGUGAGUAAUGUCUGGGAAACUGCCUGAUGGAGGGGGAUAACUACUGGAAACGGUGGCUAAUACCGCAUAACGUCGCAAGACCAAAGAGGGGGACCUUCGGGCCUCUUGCCAUCAGAUGUGCCCAGAUGGGAUUAGCUUGUUGGUGAGGUAACGGCUCACCAAGGCGACGAUCCCUAGCUGGUCUGAGAGGAUGACCAGCCACACUGGAACUGAGACACGGUCCAGACUCCUACGGGAGGCAGCAGUGGGGAAUAUUGCACAAUGGGCGCAAGCCUGAUGCAGCCAUGCCGCGUGUAUGAAGAAGGCCUUCGGGUUGUAAAGUACUUUCAGCGGGGAGGAAGGUGUUGCGGUUAAUAACCGCAGCAAUUGACGUUACCCGCAGAAGAAGCACCGGCUAACUCCGUGCCAGCAGCCGCGGUAAUACGGAGGGUGCAAGCGUUAAUCGGAAUUACUGGGCGUAAAGCGCACGCAGGCGGUCUGUCAAGUCGGAUGUGAAAUCCCCGGGCUCAACCUGGGAACUGCAUUCGAAACUGGCAGGCUUGAGUCUUGUAGAGGGGGGUAGAAUUCCAGGUGUAGCGGUGAAAUGCGUAGAGAUCUGGAGGAAUACCGGUGGCGAA
rnacentral:rRNA from 1 species